CAGUAGCCGCGGUAAUACGUAUGUCGCGAGCGUUAUCCGGAAUUAUUGGGCAUAAAGAGCAUCUAGGCGGCCUAACAAGUCAGGGGUGAAAACCUGCGGCUCAACCGCAGGCCUGCCUUUGAAACUGUAAGGCUGAAGUACCGGAGAGGUGGACGGAACUGCACGAGUAGAGGUGAAAUUCGUAGAUAUGUGCAGGAAUGCCGAUGAUGAAGAUAGUCCACUGGACGGAAACUGACGCUGAAGUGCGAAAGCCGGGGGAGCGAACAGGAUUAGAUACCCCUGUAGUCCCUGUCUCUUAUAC
rnacentral:rRNA from 1 species